GAAGCUGGAAUCGCUAGUAAUCGCGGAUCAGAAUGCCGCGGUGAAUACGUUCCCGGGUCUUGUACACACCGCCCGUCACACCAUGGGAGCCGGAAAUGCCCGAAGUCAGUGACCCAACCGCAAGGAGGGAGCUGCCGAAGGUGGAGCUGGUAACUGGGGUGAAGUCGUAACAAGGUACC
rnacentral:rRNA from 1 species